GAGACGGAGUUUCGCUCUUGUUGCCCAGGCUCUGUUUAAAAAAAAAAAAAAAAAAAGGUUUAUUAUUGCUAAUACUAUGGAGGGGCUCAGAGAUGUGAGGAAUAAGACAAAGCUGCUUUAUUUGGUGAAUGGCAGUCAUUAGUGACUUUUAAAAGAGCAGCUUGGUAGAAUGUAGGGAGGUUGGGUUAUUUUCUUUUUUACAGAUACUAUUUAUUAGGCACUAUAUAAGAUUAAAAGAGACUUUAACACCUCUUUUAAAAAAAGGCUUUAUCUCUUUCAAUGCUUACACUGACUCUUUUAACACCCUUUUUAUAGAUGAAAAGUGCGAUUGAGAGAGGUUAAGUGACUUGUUCAAGCCCUUGUAUAAAUUAAGUAUGGACACAGGAUUUAACCCAGUUGUGUCUGAUCCUAAAGCUUAUCAUUUUAAUGAGUUGCCUCCUCUCUCAUUCAUGGAAGCCAGAAUGCAAGUGGUUAAGGAGUAAUAAAGAGGUGAAUGUAGCCAGUAUAGAGGACUCUUAGGACAGGUUUGGCAGAGGUGAAAGGGAAGAGAUGGGAUGUUGCUUCUGGUUAGCAAGGGAGAGGAACAUUUCU
rnacentral:lncRNA from 10 species